rnacentral:sRNA from 1 species
AAAAAGCCAAAAAAAAA